CGCUGCUCUUGUGUGGGAUCAAAUGGAAGGGAUGUGUUGGUGGAGUGAAGUGCACUACAAAUAUGUGAUUGAUCUCUGAUACAGUACUCAACCUUGGUGAAUAACACACACAAGACAAAGAACAAGCUUACUCUCUCAAUAACACUUAAAGAGAAUAAGUAAGAAAAUGCGGCUUCUUUGUUAAGGGUGAAAAUUCGUACAAUUGUUGAAGAGGGACUUUAUAAGAGUCCUUCAGCUAGCCCUAAGGCCAAAAAAUAAAUGCAUAAACACAAUAAGGAAACAAAUAAAAGCAAAACACAAAAACGAUUAUUUUUAGAAAGAAAAGAAACUAAAUAAGGAAACUACUUAAACUUUCUUGAGGAGCACGUUUGAUAACGAUUCUAGCCGUUUGUGGGAUGUUUGGACCUGCAAAGUAAAAUUGAAUAAACCUUACAUGGAUGUGAUUUAGGCCUAGUAGAUGUCUUUUGAGUCACUUCUUGUAGAUUUCGUUGAGAUACUUCUGAAAUCACGUCUUGUGCUCGUUUGCUGGUCGGUUCCUUGAAGUAAAGGAGUAGUUCGUUCAAGACUUAUUUGGGAGAAUGCUUCAGCAAGCUCUUCCUCGGCUAUAGGAAACGUGACUCGGUAGAUUCCAAAGC